GGCAUGUUAGCUCAGUGGUUAGAGCACCCAAUGCAUAGUCGGAAGGUCCCUGGUUCGAUUCCAGGACAAGCCA